UACGGAGGGGGCUAGCGUUGUUCGGAAUUACUGGGCGUAAAGCGCACGUAGGCGGCCCGUCAAGUCAGAGGUGAAAGCCCGGAGCUCAACUCCGGAAUUGCCUUUGAAACUAGCAGGCUUGAACGUCGGAGAGGUGAGUGGAAUUCCGAGUGUAGAGGUGAAAUUCGUAGAUAUUCGGAAGAACACCAGUGGCGAAGGCGGCUCACUGGACGACUGUUGACGCUGAGGUGCGAAAGCGUGGGGAGCAAACAGG
rnacentral:rRNA from 2 species